UCAUUUAUAUUAUAAAGCUAAUGAUAUAAAAUUACAAAAUGAUUAGAUUUCACUUUUAUAAGCAAUUUAAGUCAAAUAAAAUUAAGAUUAACAAAUUCGGUUAAAACAAUUAAGAUUAACAAAAUGAAUAGAUUUCACUUUUAUAAGCAUUUUAAGAUUUGAAGUUAAAUAAUAAAAAAUAUUAUAGUUUUAAGAUUUUUAGUUAGAGUUUAAGGUAUGUGAUUAAUUUAAGGUAUGAUAUAUAUAGGGUUUGAGGGUAUUGAUUUAAGAUUUUAAGUUAAGAUUUGAAAAUAAAUUUGAAUUUAUUUUAAGAAUUAAAUUUAAGUUUGAAACUUUUUUAUUUAGGGUUAGAUUUAAAGUUAUGAGUUUAAAAUAGAGGUUGAGUAUAGGGUUUAGGGUUUAGAGAUUUGAGAUUUAUUUAUGAAAAUAUAUAACUUUGAGUUAAUAUUUAAUAUUUUAGGUUAAAUUUAAGAUUUGACGUUAGAAUAUUAGAGUUUAAAGUUCGUGUUUAGAAUUUAGGGUUGAAACCUCGUUUAGGGUUUAGGGAUUCAAAAAUCUAAAAUAUAGCGUUUUUAAUUAUGUGCUAUUAAAAAUACGAUAUCAUAGCGUUUUUAUAUACACCACUCUAUCAUAGCGUUUCCAAAUAUACAAACGCUAUCUAAAACUAA
rnacentral:lncRNA from 1 species